rnacentral:rRNA from 1 species
AGAGUUUGAUCCUGGCUCAGGAUGAACGCUAGCGGCAGGCCUAACACAUGCAAGUCGAGGGGUAACGAUGGCUUCGGCCAGGCGACGACCGGCGCACGGGUGAGUAUCGCGUUUGUAACCUACCUCUAACUGGAGAAUAGCCCGAAGAAAUUCGGAUUAAUACUCCAUAAUACUAUGAUCUGGCAUCUUUUUAUAGUUAAAGCUCCGGCGGUUAGAGAUGGGCAUGCGUGACAUUAGUUUGUUGGUGAGGUAAUGGCUCACCAAGACCACGAUGUCUAGGGGGUCUGAGAGGAUGGUCCCCCACACUGGUACUGAGACACGGACCAGACUCCUACGGGAGGCAGCAGUGAGGAAUAUUGGUCAAUGGGCGAAAGCCUGAACCAGCCAUGCCGCGUGAAGGAUGACAGCGCUACGCGUUGUAAACUUCUUUUGUACGGGAAGAAACACUUCUACGUGUAGAAGCUUGACGGUACCGUACGAAUAAGCAUCGGCUAACUCCGUG